rnacentral:tRNA from 1 species
GAAGUAUGUUGUUCAAGUGAAAGCUGCUAACUUAUCACUUUAGCGGUUAAAUUCCGUUUAUAUUUCU